rnacentral:ribozyme from 1 species
AAAUGUGAAUAUAAUAAUAGUAUGUAAAUAUAUUUGUUUCUUGUUUUUCCAUUCUUGAUUUUUGUUUCUUUGUUGCUUGUUUCCAAACACGUGCAUU